UACGGGAGGCAGCAGUGGGGAAUAUUGCACAAUGGGCGCAAGCCUGAUGCAGCCAUGCCGCGUGUAUGAAGAAGGCCUUCGGGUUGUAAAGUACUUUCAGUCGUGAGGAAGGUGUUAAGGUUAAUAACCUUAGCAAUUGACGUUAGCGACAGAAGAAGCACCGGCUAACCUCCGUGCCAGCAGCCGCGGUAAUACGGAGGGUGCGAGCGUUAAUCGGAAUUACUGGGCGUAAAGGGCACGCAGGCGGUUAAUUAAGUUGGAUGUGAAAUCCCCGGGCUUAACCUGGGAAUGGCAUUCAAGACUGGUUAGCUAGAGUCUUGUAGAGGGGGUAGAAUUCCAUGUGUAGCGGUGAAAUGCGUAGAGAUGUGGAGGAAUACCGGUGGCGAAGGCGGCCCCUGGACAAAGACUGACGCUCAUGUGCGAAAGCGUGGGGAGCAAACAGGAUUAGAUACC
rnacentral:rRNA from 1 species